ensembl:lncRNA
CGCCUGUUCUGGCUCCUUAUGCCGCAUUUUCACCCAGGGUAGUGCCAAACCACUCCUUCACGAUGGGGACAGCACAGCCUGGGAGAGCCUCUGUUCCAACUUCGGGGGGGGGAGCGGGGGGAUCAGUCGGGCUGGGGGGGGCAUGGGAGUGAUGCCAGCAUGGGUCAGUGCCACUUGUCAUCGCCUCGCUGCCAGCAAGCUUUGUGCCGGGGUGGUCAGAGCCCGAGCUGUGACGUUAGAGCCCAACUCCCUCCUAUCUGGGCAUGAAGCAGAGCAAAGCCCUGCGGGAGGAGAGGAGCUGCAGCUGCUCCGGGUAAGUGGAGUAUCCCAGGGGUAAUUAAUACAGUGGGAUGAUCAAUGAGAACCUGCAGGGAGGGAUGUGGGGAUGGGUGCAUCCUGCUGUAGCCCCGCUGCUGUGGUUGGGCAAAACACGCUGGCUGCAGAGCUGCACCAUGCCCAGCCGAGAGCCCUCCUAUUCUCCUCUCCUCAUGGGGUUUUUCCAAUGUUUCCCCUUUUCUGCAGCUUGGGAUGGAUCCAGGUCCCCACACGAACCCCAGCCUCGGCACCCCAUUGCAUCCCUAUGGGAGCAGCAGCAUCCAUCCCAUCCCACGCAGCCCCCCAAACCAGUGCCAGCCCGGGGUCCCAGCACAGUGCCGGUCCCACACUGGGGUGCACGGAGCCCACAGCAGAACGCCACUGCUCUGCAGCACAGCGCUGCAUCCUCAGCCGCUCACACACAGCUAUCGACAGCGAUUUCACACUGCUUGCCUUCCUAAUUGUCUCCCUGAUCUGUUUUCUAAUCUGAGUUGUCUUAACACAAACAAUUACAGCCGAGUAACUGAUUAAUCAUUCAAAUGAAUUUAAAAUGGAGUGUUUUAAUAUAUUUAGAUAAUGCACAUGUGCAACAGGAAAAAAAAAAGGGCGAUGCUUAUCUGCAAUUGUCACUUAGAAUGGAUGAGUUCCAAUUAUUUGUGUGGGAGAAAACAGAGGUAUAAAGAUCAGAAUCCAAAUUAUUGUGUAAACUGUUGACAUAUUCUGAGCACUGUUAUUUAAAUGCCACUAAAUAGAUGUUUAAAUGAGGAUGAAUAAUUGCAUCAAUAAUUCAUUUGCAGCUUAGAAGGAAGCUUUGGCUGAUGUGGGAUGGUGGGAAGGGGCAGCGUGGCUCCGGAGCUUUUUGCAUUGAGGCAGAGGGAGCUUCUCCAAAAGCCUUGCUCUUUGCAGGCCCAAAGGCUUGCAUGGAAUCCCAACCUGCCCCAAAGCAGUGGCAUAGAUCCAAACUCCCGUAUCCAGAUGCACAGCAGCUCAUGCCCGCUGCCAUGCUGCGACUGAGCCAGCAGAAAACCCCAGGGGCGAUGCUUCCCUUACCUGCAAAUUGGUUUCUAAUCUGGGUGCCUUUAAAAACGCAGCCAUUGGAAAGAAAAGCAAGGCCACUCGUGCUUAUAGCACAGUUAUCCAACGGGGUGAGGGAGUGAGGUUUGCUAAGCACUGGUUCUUUAAAUAACACACCCUCUCGCAGUGGUAUGUGGCAAGGAGUAACCCAACACAGCCUCCUGCAACGAGAUACAGCAUCAGACAUUUAAAAGGAAUAGCUUUGAUGCCGGCUGUCAGCAAAAAAUGCAGGCAGAAAACGCGUGCCUUCAGCUGCUGCCACGCACAGAGCAGCAAGAGCCCCAUCCCAACAUCCUGCUGAGCACAGAGGGCCUCUUAAUGGGCGAAGAGGAGGUGAAACGCACAGCAGAGCGGUGGGGAUCUCCCCAGCUUGGAGGUUCCCAGGACCAUGUUGUGCUGUGCACACAGCAGAUGUGAGGCAUUACCCACACAGCACCAGCUGAGCCACAAAGACCAAGGAGGAUGAACAUGGCUUUCCAGCAUCACGAGGCCACCAGCACCUGCGCUGCCCCAGCCAAGCUUGAAAUGCAAAGGGAAAACAAUGCAAAUGGCAAAUACUCCACGGAUUCUGCAGCUUGCUUUGAGUGGCAAUAAUGCCAUCUAACAAAUAAAUUCAUUAACAGCACAGAGUCUGUCCCAGCACCUUGGGUCUGCGUUUGCCAUGCGGGCUCUUGGAUGGCUCCAUGAGCAGUGCAGACAGCUGCGCCCGCAGAGAUGUCGUGGAAACAAAGGCAACAAAAUAAGAUUUGGAAUUUGCUUUGAAAUUCUGCCUUGGAUCUUCAGGGAAAAAAAAAAAAAAAAAAAAGGAAAGAAAGAAAGAAAAAAACCAACAGAAAAACAAAACAGAUGUGUGGUGUUUUUUAUUCUUUUUCUCAUGGAGGCGAACUGCCCCCCGCUCACUAAAGCAGGUGAAGGCAGCAGAGCCCAGAGCUUGGUGAGCCCCUGGUUCCCAGUGCUAAGAGCUCAGUGCUGUGUGGGUCUGACAGAGAGAUCUGAGGAGCCCAAGGCUUCUUGCUCACAUCGCCACGCACUUCAGAAAGAGAUCUGAGCAAUAACACAACAACAACAUGUGCAACUACUUAGAAGUCAAUUAAUAUCAGAGGAAGGACCCUUGUUGAAUCCAGCAGAAAGAAUGAUGGUUACAUUUCCGGAAUAAUGGCUGAAAUUUGCCAUUGUGUGUCAUCAGGAAUCAUUUAAAAUAGUUUUGAUCUCAGCUUUUUCUGUCGGGGCUCUAAUGAAUUAACAGAUGACAGAUUUCCGUAAUGAAAGGCUGUGUUUUAAAGACAAGCCGACAUUGUUUUCCCUGUACUACUCAUAUAAUUUGGGAUGUUUAAAAAUAAUUACAGCACAAGAUGAAUACCUUACAAGGUUUCAGAUAUUUCACACAUGCUGAGCCUUCCUCCUGCACAGGUUUUAGGGGCUGCACCCAAUCAACAUCCAAGUUCCAACACCCAGCAUCUAACAUCCAACUUCUGACAUUCAACUUCCAACACUCAAUUUCCAACACCCAACUUCCAAUAUCCAAUAUCCAACAUCUGACUUCCAACACCCAGCUUCCAAUAUCCGACACCUGACUUCCAACACCCAACUACCAAUACCCAACACCCGAAUUCCAACACCCAACUUCCAAUAUCCAAUAUCCGACACCUGACUUCCAACAUCCAACUACCAAUACCCAACACCCGAAUUCCAACACCCAACUUCCAACAUCCAACUUUCAACACCCAGGAUCCAAUAUCCAACAUCUGACUUCCGACAUCUGACUACCAACAUCCAACAUCUGAUUUCCAACACCCAACAUCCAGCUGACAUCCUCACAGCCCAAGUACCACCAUCCAGAGCUCCAGCAAGAAAGAAAGAGUCCCUGCUGCCCCACAGCCCUACAAGCCCUAAAAGCCCCCACAGAGCCCACGAGGUGGGUGCAAAAGGCAACGACCGGUGCAGCGAUGUCCUCCGCAGCGCUCUCCUCAUUAGCUCGGUGCUGGAUCACAUUUUUGUGCAGUGCAAAGGGACCACAAAGGCAUAUUAUAUUCAAUGUUAAGUAAACAAACUUUUGAAACGGACUUUUAUUGAUUCCAUACGGCCAUCUGGCUUGGAGGAAAAAGCCCCCUCCCUCCUCCCCCUCCCUGUGAAAAUAUUCGAAGGCUGGGGGCUGGCAGCGGCUCAGCGUGGCUGCAAACCACCUAGUUUCCUCUGCGGUUAACAACACAGGAAAACGUCGAACUCUCAGAUAAAUGUUGGAGGCUUAUUUGGUUCACCCAUCUGGUAGCCAGCCUGUUCUGCGAAAAUUAAAGAUAUACAUAUGCAAAUAUUCACAGUCUGCUUCCAAGAUCUAAAGAAUUUUUAU